rnacentral:rRNA from 1 species
UACGGAGGGUGCGAGCGUUGUCCGGAAUCAUUGGGCGUAAAGGGCGCGUAGGUGGCGCGGUAAGCGUGCGGUGAAAGCCUGGGGCUCAAACCCCGGGUCGGCCGUGCGAACUGCUGGGCUUGAGCACUGUAGAGGCAGGCGGAAUUCCGGGUGUAGCGGUGGAAUGCGUAGAGGAUCCGGAAGAACACCGGUGGCGAAGGCGGCCUGCUGGGCAGUUGCUGACACUGAGGCGCGACAGCGUGGGGAGCAAAGCAGG